GCCCCUGUAGCUCAGUGGAUAGAGUGUCGGCCUCCGGAGCCGGAGAGCACAGUUCGAGUCUGUGCAGGGGCGCCU
rnacentral:tRNA from 1 species